CACCGGCGGCUCGAGUGGUAACCGUUAUUAUUGGGUCUAAAGGGUCUGUAGCCGGCCGGAUAAGUCUCUUGAGAAAUCCAGCAGCUCAACUGUUGGGCUUUCAGGAGAUACUGUCUGGCUCGAGGCCGGGAGAGGUGAGAGGUACUUCAGGGGUAGGGGUGAAAUCUUGUAAUCCUUGAAGGACCACCAGUGGCGAAGGCGUCUCACCAGAACGGACCUGACGGCAAGGGACGAAAGCUAGGGGCACGAACCGGAUUAGAAACCCUAGUAGUCC
rnacentral:rRNA from 1 species